AAUCAACGCUGGCGGCGUGCCUAACACAUGCAAGUCGAACGCGAAAGGGGCUUCGGCCCUGAGUAGAGUGGCGAACGGGUGAGUAACACGUGGGUGACCUACCCUUGAGUGGGGGAUAACGUUCCGAAAGGAACGCUAAUACCGCAUGACGUUCUGGGUUUGAAGACCUGGAAACCAAAGCCGGGGACCGCAAGGCCUGGCGCUCGAGGAGGGGCCCGCGUCCGAUUAGCUAGUUGGCGGGGUAACGCCCACCAAGGCACGAUCGGUAGCCGGCCUGAGAGGGCGGACGGCCACACUGGGACUGAGACACGGCCCAGACUCCUACGGGAGGCAGCAGUGGGGAAUUGUUCGCAAUGGGCGCAAGCCUGACGACGCAACGCCGCGU
rnacentral:rRNA from 1 species